AGUGAACGCUGGCGGCGUGCCUAAUACAUGCAAGUCGAACGGAGUGGCGCACGGGUGAGUAAUAUAUAGCUAAUCUGCCCCUUGCUGGAGGACAACAGUUAGAAAUGACUGCUAAUACUCCAUAGCAAGGGAUGAGACUAUAUCGUAUCAUCUAGUCGGUGGGGUAACGGCCUACCGAGGCUAUGACGAGUAACUGGUCUGAGAGGAUGAUCAGUCACAUUGGAACUGAGGCACGGGCCAGACUCCUACGGGAGGCGGCAGUAGGGAAUAUUGCGCAAUGGGGGUAUCCCUGACGCGGCAUCGCCGCGUGGAGUAUGACACUUUUCGGAGAGGAAACUCCUUUUGUUAGGGAAGCGGUACCUAACGAAUAAGCACCGGCUAACUCCGUGCCAGCAGCCGCGGUAAUUC
rnacentral:rRNA from 1 species